ACUUUUCCUUUUAUUGGAGAGGUCAGCUGGCAGAUCAGGCAGCUGGAGAAUGUGUGCUUUAUCAUGAGUUUAGUCUUCCUGAUUCAUGGGGUGAAAUUUGUUUUUCUUAUUGCUUCUUAGAGGAGGACGAGCUCAUUGGUGGUGGUGACAAGAGCAGCCCUCUGUCCUUCCUUCUCUUCUCCAAUACUGGAAGAAGUGGGAUGUGGGUUCUCAAAUGUCACAGAAGCCUACAAAAUGCUGACUCCGGAUGCCACACAUAACUGGGGCUGGCUCAGAAUGGGGAGACAGGGCAACACCGUCAUCUGCUAAGAAUUCACUGUUCUGCAGCUUUCCCUGGACACAAUGGGACAGAUAGGUUGUUUCCCAUUGCAAUCCUUUGAUGCUUCAGUGACCAGCCUUGAAGACAACUCCUCUGGCACAAGUACAAGAGUUCUCCCAAGGCAGAUAUGGAGGAACCACUGGGUCCUAAGAUUUAAAUUUUCAAUAGGUACCAUCAACUUGCCUUUCAUAGGGGUUGUAAUAAUUGAUAAUCCCAAUUGCAUUAUUAAUGUAUCUAUUUCCUACAACUUUACCAACAUUUGUUUAAGGGGAAAAAUUGCCAAUC
rnacentral:lncRNA from 1 species